rnacentral:tRNA from 4 species
GGGAUCGUGGGUUAGCUUGGUAUACUCACAGCCUUGGGUGCUGUAGACCCCGGUUCAAAUCCGGGCGAUCCCA